GUAUUCAUGCCAUAUAUAAGGCGGAUAAAUCAGACAUAUGCCAAGGCUUAUGCGACAAGGACUAUCCUUUUUCUGAGAGAAAAUGGAACCUUAAAGCCAGUGGCCAUCGAAUUAAGUUUGCCACAUCCUGCUGGGGACCUGUCAGGUGCUGUCAGUCAAGUCAUCUUACCUGCAAAAGAAGGUGUUGAAAGUACAAUUUGGCUACUGGCCAAAGCUUAUGUGGUCGUAAAUGACUCUUGCUAUCAUCAACUCAUGAGCCAUUGGUAUAUAAAACAAUUCAAUUCAAUCUCCAUCUAUGAUGUAUGUUAUGUCUCAAUUUUAUUUUAUUUUUAUUUUUUAUUUUGUUCAUAGGUUAAAUACUCAUGCGGUGAUUGAGCCAUUCAUCAUAGCAACAAACCGACACCUUAGUGCUCUUCACCCAAUUUAUAAGCUUCUAACUCCUCACUACCGUGACACCAUGAACAUCAACGCACUUGCUAGGCAAUCUCUCAUUAAUGCUGAUGGCAUAAUAGAGAAAUCUUUUUUGCCCUCAAAGCAUUCCGUUGAGAUGUCUUCAGCGGUUUAUAAGAAUUGGGUUUUCACUGAUCAAGCACUACCUGCAGAUCUUAUCAAGAGGUAAUUAAUCUCUCUAAACUCUAAACAUAAAACUAUGAAAUAUAGGUACAUAGUUUGUUAUUGAUUUAUAUUUUGUUUGAUUCAGAGGAGUGGCAAUUAAGGAUCCAUCUGCCCCACAUGGACUUCGACUUCUGAUAGAGGACUACCCUUAUGCUGUUGAUGGGCUAGAGAUAUGGGCUGCAAUUAAGACAUGGGUCCAAGAAUAUGUGUCCUUGUACUAUGCAAGAGAUGAUGAUGUCAAACCUGAUUCUGAACUCCAACAGUGGUGGAAAGAAGCUGUAGAGAAAGGUCAUGGUGAUCUGAAAGACAAGCCAUGGUGGCCUAAGUUGCAAACAAUUGAAGAGCUUGUUGAAAUUUGCACCAUUAUCAUAUGGACUGCUUCAGCCCUCCAUGCAGCCGUUAACUUUGGUCAAUAUCCAUAUGGAGGUUUCAUUCUGAAUCGCCCAACUUCUUCUAGAAGGUUGCUUCCUGAGAAAGGCACCCCAGAAUAUGAAGAAAUGGUGAAAAGUCAUCAAAAGGCUUAUUUGAGAACUAUUACAUCAAAGUUUCAAACUCUAGUUGACCUUUCAGUGAUAGAGAUCUUGUCAAGGCAUGCUUCUGAUGAGGUCUACCUUGGCCAAAGGGACAACCCACAUUGGACCUCUGACUCAAAAGCAUUACAAGCCUUUCAAAAAUUUGGAAACAAGCUCAAAGAAAUUGAGGAAAAACUUGCAAGGAAGAACAAUGAUCAAAGUCUCUCCAAUCGACUUGGGCCGGUUCAACUGCCAUACACUUUGCUCCAUCCUAACAGUGAGGAAGGGUUGACUUGCAGGGGGAUUCCUAAUAGCAUCUCUAUCUAAGGGAGCAUGUGGUCUACUUUAAUUACAGUACUGUACCUACCUUCCAAUAAAAAAGAUGCAAGGCUAGAGAUCCAAUAAAUCUUGCAUCCUAUCUAAUGUUUCAAUUAUCUUGUGUUUUAAUGCUGUAAUGGAGCCUACAAUUUGCAAAUUAAUUAAGAGCACCGAGCACUAUUAGUUUGCGUUUAGCUUCUGUCAUGUUUAUUAAGAUAUAUUUCGCAGAUUGUAACACAAAAUUUUGUGGCAAAACAAGCUUUUUUUUUUCUUAUUGAAAAUAAUUGUACUUUGAUAAUAGAAAAUUCAGCAAAUUAGGCCUUAAAAAUAAUUAUUUAGCAGUUAUUUGCGCUUAAUUGUUAAAGAAUUGAUAUUUCGUGAAUUUUGAUUGCAGAUAUAAAAAUUAGAGGUGUUAAAAGCAAAUAGAAGGAAAUAAUUAGAAAGGCUCAACUCAUUCUCUCGCGUAGCGUGUAGCGCGUGCUAAACGAGACGUUAAGCACGAGAGUCAGAAUCCGUUACUCGCGCACAGCGCACAGCACAGACUAAGUGGACAAAACUGACACAGAACACGCUAAGCGAGAGGAGCUCGCUAAGCACAAGAUCUGAAUGCGCUAAGCGAUGGGUAUCGCGCUGAACGAGCCUAUGAAAAUCCAAAACCCACUCCAGCAACUGUAAAUAGAGAGCUCAGUCAAGGAAAACGACACAAUGAGUCUCAGAGUACUCCUAUCACUACCUUAAGCCUGAAAAUUCCUCCUCUCUUCUCUCUAUCAAUUGUAUUCAUUCUUUCUUCCAUCCCUCUCAUUGUAAGUCCCUCAAUGAUCAUGAGUGGCUAAUCCCCUGGUUAGGGUCAGGCAGGCCUAAAAAGUCAAACGAUGUAUGGUGAACUUCAGAUUUAUCAAUGCAAGAGGAUCCCUUUUCAGGUUUUUCUGUUCUAUUUUCUUUUUUAUUUUAUCUUGCAUUCUCAUCUUUAUUUUCUUUUGGGGGUUAGUUACUCGGGAGAGGAUAACUUCUAAUAAGAUCUAAAGAAAAGAUGCAUGCAUUAGUUUUAGGAGUUAGUCUCUCGGGAAAGGAUAAUCUCUAAUAGAACAUUAAAGAGAAGAAAUCAUAAGGUAAUCAUUGCUAGGCAUAGAAUGGUAACUUUAUGCUCAUGCAUUCAACAAACAUCUAAAAUUUAUUAUUCAUGCAUUUUAUUUAUUGAGUCUUUUCAAAAGCAUUUAGGAGAUAGGUAAAUAAAAUAGGUUUGUCAUCGUGAGGCAUCAAGGGUAAGUAACUAGAUAGAUGUGGAUAAAACAUAUCCGAUUAAUUUAAUAAAGAAUAACCAUAAAUUCAUACAUCCAAGGUGGACUAGGCAUGUUAGGUCUUAACAUCUGCAUCUCAUUGAAUUCUUUACGUAUUGUGCUUUUGAUUUUUUUGUUCCUAUUAUCUCUUCUACUCCUCUUUUCAAAUAUUGCCCUUAUAAAUUAAAAGUUAUCCAAUACAAGUGCAACAUUCGACACUCGGACUUCAAGGUUUUGCUACUUAGAUAUUUGGUGCACUUGCCAAAUGCCUAACACUUAUCAGAUUAUAUUAUUAAGAAAAUCAAUUUUAAAUUUGGGAAACCAAAUAUAAAUUUAUCUUAAACUUAAGAGACUAAAAAAUAUCUAAUUUUUUUUUAUAUUAUAAAUUUAACGAAUAAAAAAUAGGUUAAAUUACCUUAUUUCUUAAUUUUACUUUUUUAUGACAAUUUGAUUGAUUUUUUAUUUGUUUAAAGUUAUAAAAUAAUUAUUUAUCUUUUGAAGUGUUAAUCACUUUCGAUUUUGGAAUAUGAUUUUGCAUUUUUUAUAUUGAUUCAAGAACUAAAAUUUAUUUAGAUUCACCUACAUGAAAUUUAUGAAAUAUGUUAAAAAUUAAGUGAAAAUUGAAUCUUAUGAUAGUUUUUUUUUUGGUUGAUUUUGAAAAAAAUUUCAAUUCUUCCGUUGCUCAUAAAACACAAUGUAAUUAUAAUAUAUAAGAUAUAAUAAAGUAGGAGAGUAAGAUAAAAACAUGAUAAGAUAAGUAUAUAAUAAGAUUUAAUUAUAUCCAAAUAUUUGGUAUGCAUAAAUUAUCACGUCCAAUGAUCUGUUAACGACAUUUAUGCUUAACUGAUAAAAGGAUCCAAUUAAAUUAUUUUAAAUAAUUAAAGAACCACUUAAUAAUUAAAGGAACUAAUUAAAUAUUAAAAAUAAAUUUAAAAACCUAAACAGUAAUUUAAUCUAUUUUAUAUAAUAGGUUGGAUAAUAUAAUAAUUAUUAUUAUAUAUAAUAAUUAUAAUAUUGAAUAUAUUACAUAACAUAUAUGGAGAAAGAAAUAGAGGUUAUCUUACUCCAUUAAUUCUGGUCCCUCUCUGAAUAAGAUAAGAGACAUAAUAAUAUUAUCAUCUUAUAUAAUAUAUUUCAAUAUGAUAAUACAGUUAUUUUAUCUUAUUUUUUUAUAUUUUUGUCAUCAAAGGUAUCCUUAUGAUUAUUCAAAUAUCAGUUGGAUCUUAUAAUUUCAUGUAAGUAAAUUUAAAGAGACCGAAUCAAUAAAAAAAUUAAAAUUAUGUUGCAAAAUUGAAAACGAACAAUAUUUUAAAAAUCAUUUUAUAAAUUUUAAUAAAUACGACACCAAAUUACAAUCUAAAAUAAAAUUAAGAUAUUAUAAAGGAGUAAUAUUAUCCUAAAAAUAACAUAAAUCUUAUUAAUUAUAUUCUCAUCAGAGUCAUAAAGAUGAUUUGGGAAGAGGCAUAAGCAUAAGCGUUGGAGUGAUGAUAAGAAGGUUAUAGGUUCUAAUUCUUGUACUAAUAUAACAUACUAGUAGUAAUUAUUAACGUUUACUUAUAAAAAAAAAUUAAAUUCCCUUCGUAUGCAUGGUAAGUAUCAUUAUUUGCAUGGGGCCUUAAUGACACUUGCACUUGACGUCAAAAUGUCAAAUCUACCAUCAAAUACACAUUCAUUAUUCACCGUGUAAUGUGUACAGAUGUCUUUUGUUCCUUCUGCAUGGAAAAAGUGUGACACCUUGCAUUUUCAGUACUCGUGCUCAUCGUUACCAGCAAUAUAGUAUUUUUUUUUUUUAGUGAACCAGCAAUAUAUAUAGUAUAUCUUAUAGAAUAUUACAUAUACUUUAAUACUUAGGUGAAAAAAUUCUUAACUUAUAUAUAUCAUUUAAUUACAUCAUUAAAAUGUUAAUAAAAUAUAGUCAGUAAGUAAUUAAUCGUCAACACAAUUAAGUUGAGAAUAGCUAUCAUUAUAAAUACCCAUGAUAGCUUUGGUUGAUUUUCUCACAGGUCACAGGCUUUUUCUUUUUCUUCUUCUUCUUCUUCUUUAUUUUCUCAUUUUGCCAAACUAAAAUAGUUGUGUUGGUAGCUUUGGCAAAGAUGUUUUCAGCAGGCCAUAAGAUCAAAGGGACAGUGGUGUUGAUGCCCAAGAAUGAGUUGGAAGUUAACCCUGAUGGCUCAGCAGUUGACAACCUUAAUGCUUUCUUGGGCCGUAGUGUCUCCCUUCAGCUCAUUAGUGCUACCAAGGCUGAUGGUUAAUUAAUUUCUUCAUCGUUUCACUUUUUUCCAUCAUCAUCAUCCACAAUCAUCACUUUCUAUAUUAAAAAUUAACUUUAAUUUCUAUAUACGAAAAGUAAGUGUAAAGAGUUUAAAUAAUUUUUGUAAAAUAGUAAUUUCUGAUUCAACGAUAGUAUACACAUUUUUUACAUUUUUAAUUCAUAGAGGGUUUUGUUUUCUAUUAGAAAUAUAUCACGUAGUAAUACAUAACCAAAGAUAUUUAUAUAGUUUAAACUUACUCGGUACGUACGUAACAUAGUAUUAUUAUUAUGUGUGUAUGAUCUGUUUGUAGCACAUGGAAAAGGAAAAGUUGGAAAGGAUACGUUCUUGGAAGGGAUUAAUACUUCGUUACCAACUUUGGGAGCAGGAGAGUCUGCAUUCAAUAUUCAUUUUGAAUGGGACGGAAGCAUGGGAAUCCCCGGUGCGUUUUACAUAAAGAACUACAUGCAAGUUGAGUUCUUCCUCAAGAGUUUGACUCUUGAAGCCAUUUCAAACCAAGGAACCAUCCGCUUUGUUUGCAACUCAUGGGUUUAUAACACUAAACUUUACAAAAGCGUGCGCAUUUUCUUUGCCAACCAUGUAAGCUCUUUAGCAAUUAGUAGUUUAAUUACAAAAGUGUGUGUGUGUGUGAAAUGUCUAAUGGCAAGUUCUUCAAGUUUAAGCUAAGAAUUAAAAAAUUCAAUUUAAUGUAAUGUAGACAUAUGUACCUAGUGAGACACCAGCACCACUUGUGGAGUACAGAGAAGAAGAAUUGAAGAGUUUAAGAGGAAAUGGAACGGGAGAGCGCAAGGAAUAUGAUAGGAUCUAUGAUUAUGAUGUCUACAAUGAUUUGGGCAACCCAGAUAAGAGUGAAAAGUUAGCUCGUCCAGUUCUUGGAGGGUCUAGCACCUUUCCCUACCCUCGUAGGGGAAGAACUGGUCGAGGUCCAACAGUUACAGGUUAGUCUUCUAUGGUUCUAUAUAAUUUAAAUGAAUUGUAACAUUGACUUUUUAUAAUGUUAUGGUCAGCGUAGUACAACAUAUUGCUUGGGUAUAUGUGACACGUUAUAAAUUAAUUUUGCACUAUGAUUCUGAUUAUUUUUAUUUUUUUUGGAUGAUUAAGUUUUUACACAUUGUUGUUUCCUAAUCAAUUUCAAUUCAACAGACCCGAAUACUGAGAAACAAGGCGAAGUAUUUUAUGUUCCAAGAGAUGAAAAUUUAGGUCACUUGAAGUCUAAGGAUGCUCUUGAGAUUGGAACAAAAUCUUUAUCUCAAAUUGUCCAGCCGGCGUUCGAAUCUGCGUUCGAUUUGAAAUCCACGCCAAUUGAGUUUCAUAGCUUCCAAGAUGUGCAUGACUUGUAUGAAGGUGGAAUUAAGCUUCCUAGAGAUGUAAUUAGCACAAUUAUCCCCUUACCAGUGAUCAAAGAACUCUAUCGUACCGAUGGUCAACACAUCCUCAAGUUUCCACAACCUCACGUCGUUCAAGGUGUGAUAAAUAAAUAUAAUAAACCACUCAUACUUGAAAUCUUGAAUUAAUCAAUGACAUAAUAAAUAUAAUAAACCACUGAUACUUGAAAUCUUGAAUUAAUUAAUGACAUUUUGGUCAUACAAAUCGUAUCGUAUUCACGAACAAAUUCAAAACUCAUUAUGUUUUUUAUGAAAUGGUUAUUCCAUUUAAUAAGGAUUUUCUUUUUAUUAUUAAUUUGGGUAGUGAGUCAGUCUGCAUGGAUGACUGAUGAAGAAUUUGCUAGAGAGAUGAUUGCUGGUGUAAAUCCCUGCGUAAUUCGUGGUCUUGAAGUAAGUUCAAAUAUUUAUUUAUAAAAUCAAAUUUGAUGUCCACGUAAAAUUAGGUAGUAUAUCGCCAGUAAUAAACUAAAAUACUAAAUGGUUGUUCUUCUUUAAUUAAAUGGAUUGUAGGAGUUCCCUCCAAAAAGUAAUCUGGAUCCUGCAAUCUAUGGUGAUCAAAGCAGUAAGAUAACAGCAGAUUCCCUUGAUCUAGAUGGGUACACAAUGGACGAGGUAAACAUGCGAAGCGAAGGAAUUGAUACAAUAAUUUUCCUCUUAAAGUAAUUAAUUAAAACUAAUUGAAUUUUGUGGUACAGGCACUUGGUAGUCGAAGGUUAUUUAUGUUAGAUUACCAUGAUAUCUUCAUGCCAUAUGUGAGGCAGAUAAAUCAGCUGAAUUCUGCCAAGACUUAUGCGACAAGGACUAUCCUUUUUUUGAGAGAAGAUGGAACUUUAAAGCCAGUGGCCAUCGAAUUAAGUUUGCCACAUUCUGCUGGGGAUCUGUCAGCUGCCGUCAGUCAAGUCGUCUUACCUGCUAAGGAAGGUGUUGAGAGCACAAUUUGGCUACUAGCCAAAGCUUAUGUCAUCGUAAAUGACUCUUGCUACCAUCAACUCAUGAGCCAUUGGUAUAAAUUUUCAUUUUCAUUUUCAUUGCUAUAUAUCAACAUAUAUAGAUAAAUUCAAUCUCUAAUCCCUCUCUCUCAAGUGUAUAUUAAUUACUUUUGAUUUCUUCAUAGGUUAAAUACUCAUGCGGCGAUGGAGCCAUUCGUCAUAGCAACACACCGACAUCUUAGCGUGCUUCACCCAAUUUACAAGCUUCUGACUCCUCACUAUCGUAACAACAUGAACAUCAACGCACUUGCCAGGCAAUCUCUAAUUAAUGCUAAUGGCAUAAUAGAGACAACCUUUUUGCCCUCAAAGUAUUCUGUGGAGAUGUCUUCGGCGGUUUAUAAGAAUUGGGUUUUCACUGAUCAAGCACUACCUGCAGAUCUUAUCAAGAGGUAAUUAAUUAAGUAAAUCUCUCUAUAUCACUAGAAAAAAAAUGUGACAUAAAGGUUUGAAAUAUAUAGGUAUACAUUUUGUUACAAAGCAUAAUGAUGGAUGCAUGUAUAUAUUAUAUUUUGUUUGACUUAGAGGAGUGGCAAUUAAGGAUCCAUCAACCCCACAUGGAGUUCGUCUUCUGAUAGAGGACUAUCCUUAUGCCGCUGAUGGACUGGAGAUAUGGGCUGCAAUUAAGACAUGGGUUCAAGAAUAUGUGCCCUUGUACUAUGCAAGAGAUGAUGAUGUCAAAAAUGAUUCUGAACUCCAACAUUGGUGGAAAGAAGCUGUAGAGAAAGGCCAUGGUGAUUUGAAAGACAAGCAUGGUGGCCUAAGUUGCAGACACUUGAAGACCUUGUUGAAGUUUGCCUCAUUAUCAUAUGGAUUGCUUCAGCUCUCCAUGCAGCCGUUAAUUUUGGUCAGUAUCCUUAUGGAGGUUUGAUAAUGAACCGCCCAACUGCUUCUAGAAGGUUGCUUCCUGAGAAAGGCACCCCAGAAUAUGAAGAAAUGAUUAAUAACCAUGAAAAGGCUUAUUUGAGAACAAUUACAUCAAAGUUGCCGACUCUCAUUAGCCUUUCAGUGAUAGAGAUCUUGUCGACACAUGCUUCUGAUGAGGUCUACCUUGGCCAGAGGGACAACCCACAUUGGACCUCUGAUUCAAAAGCAUUACAAGCCUUUCAAAAGUUUGGAAACAAGCUCAAGGAAAUUGAGGAAAAACUUGUGAGGAGGAACAAUGAUCCGAGUCUGCAGGGCAAUCGACUUGGCCCGGUUCAACUGCCAUACACUUUGCUUUAUCCUAGCAGUGAGGAAGGGUUAACUUUUAGGGGAAUUCCAAAUAGCAUCUCUAUCUAAGGGAGCCUGUGGUUUACUCUAAUUACUCUAUAUAUAGUGCAUGUGUACCUUCCAAUAAAAAAGAUGCAAGACUAGAGAUCCGAUAAAUCUUGCAUCUUAUCUAAUGUUUCAAUUAUCUUGUGUUUUAAUUAAUGUUGUAAUUGAGCUCACAGUUUGGUUGUGGUUUGCAAAUAAUAAGAGCAGUGAGCACUAUUAGUUUGUGUUUAGCUCCUGUCAUCAUGUUUGGUAUUAUACAUUUUGCAGAUUACGUAACACAAAUUUAUGUUAUUAGUAAAAAAACUGUAUUGUACGAAUAUUUUGUAUUAUAAGUAUAUAAGAAAUAAAAAUUAUUAGUAUUAGUAAAAAAACUGUAUUAAUUCUUUGUAGUUCGUCUCAUUAGUUUUUGUAUCUUGUUAUAUUUGUUUCUCCAUUGUUUUUAUCAUCACUAUCUAAUUUAUCUGCUACAAAUUACUUUUAAGUCACAACUCGAUUCACAUGCAUGGGCGCUGCAAAAUUAGCACACAGUAAAAAUCUAUCAAUAAGAAAAAAAAUACCUUACACGUUUGGCAUGGAAUUUAUUUUGCUUUUAGAGUGUGUUAUCUACAGAGAAGAAAACAAUUUAUCACAUAUUACAGGUGAAAGGCCUAAGGCUUUCAACUUUUAAUGAGCACGCCAAUAAAAAAAUAUGAUAGAUGUAUCCAAAUAUUCUCACAGUAUGAUCUGUUUGAAAGCCACAAAUUUGUAACCUUUAAUGAAUGGAAGCCUGAAAGAAGAACGACCACAACCGAUGUCAACAGAUGAAAUCGAGAACGCAAAAAGGACAGGUGUGUACCAUCUUAGUUAAAGAAGACGAGCAAAGGCAGCAGUGGAUGUACUUGAUCAAUAAGUAAAGCCCUACAAGGCUCAGAGCAGAACUACCAACGACUAGAAAAAGUAACAUGUGUUGUGGUCAUAUAACAGCUUGUGGACUAGAAUUUCCUAUACUGCCCUGACUUGGCAGGAAAAAUGAUAUCUUGGAUACAUGGCCAAUGCAAUUUUAAAAACUAACCCUUGCUGCAAUUGAAAUUGCGACUCAGAUAAGAUGAUAUUUUCUUCUAGUUUGCACUUCACAGCAGCAUUGUUAAAAGUUAAAACAUGCAUGAUUGCAUUUAUUAUUUUGGUUUCCAUUAUACUAACACAACUCUCUUUAUUAAUGACAAAUACAAAUACAUUCAGCCACUCCAAAUACAUGACUUAAGCAUACACAACUGAUUAAGGAAUCUGGUUCCUUCAAUUUCACAUUUAUUUAAAACCAGGAACAGUACUUAAGCAACCAUAGGGUCCUUAGAUAGAGAUACUGUUGGGAAUUCCUCUGAAAGUCAAUCCCUCCUCACUAGAAGGAUAGAGCAGAGUGUAAGGCAUUUUAGCUGGCCCAUAGCGGUUUCUCAAUGUCUCAUCUUUGUUCUUCUCUAUAAGCUUCUUUUCAAUCUCUUCAAGCUUCUUUCCAAACCUCUUAAAUGCCUCUAAUGGACCGGCAUCAGAAGUCCAGUAGUCACCACCAUCUCUCUGCCCAAGGUAGAACUCAUCAGAUGCGUGCCUUGACAAGAUUUCUAUAACUGUAAGGUCAAUGAGGGUCUCCUUCUUGCCAGUAAUAGUCUUCAAAAACUCCUUCUCAGGGUUCUUAGCCAACGCAUCAUAUUCAGGAGACCCCUUUUCAGGCAUGAAUCUCCUGCUAAUAGUUGGCCUGUUUAGGAUUAAACCUCCAUAUGGAUACUGUCCAAAGUUAACAGCAGCAUGAAGGGCUGAAGCAAUCCAUAUGAGGAUAGCGGAAGCUUCAACCAACUCUUCACGAGUUUGCAUCUUUUGCCACCAUGGCUUAUCUUUCAAAUCACCAUGACCCACCUCUACAAGUUCUUUCCACCAAGCUUGGAGUUCAGGGUCUUUUUGGAGUUCCUCAUCUGACUUGUAGUAGAAUGAGACAUAUUCUUGCACCCAGGACUUGAUGGCAUCCCAUAUCUCUAGCCCAUCAGAAGCAUAAGGAUAGUCCUCAAUCAAAAGACGAACUCCAUGGGGAGCAGAUGGGUCCUUAACAGCAACUCCUCUGAAUUAAAACAACCCGAAUAGCACUAAUUAGCAUAAGAGUCAUAUCAAGCCUGAUUCCUGAAGCCUUUUUUUCUUUUGUCGUUGAUGACUUAGAUUUAGAUUCUUUAUUUUUAAGCGAUAUAUAUUUCUAAUUUGUUGAUAAACUUUAAAAGAUUACUUACCUCUUUACAAGAUCAUUAGGUAAUGCUUGAUCAGUGAAAACCCAGUCCUUGUAAAUGACAGCGGACAUUUCCAUAGAGUACCUACCCCACAAGAAUGUUUUCUCUAUAAUACCAUCUGCAUUGACCAGGGCUUUCCGGGCAAGUGAAUUAAUAUUCAUGGUGUCACGGUAGUGAGGAAACAGAAGUUUGUAAAUAGGGUGAACCACACUCAGUUGCCUGUUUGUUGCUAUGACAAAUGGCUCAACAAUUGCAUGAGUGCUUAGCCUGCCAUCCAUGUUAAUAUGUUAAAUCAUUUAUUCAUAAAUACAUUAUCAAAUUUAAUUGCAUGGAUCUAAUUUCCAAUUCAUAAUAUGGUACCAAUGGCUAAUGAUUUGAUGGUAGCAUGCAUCAUUCACAACAACAUAAGCCUUUGCCAGUAACCAAAUAUAAGCUUCCACUCCUUCGCUGGCAGGCACGUAGACUUCGCUAACAGGACCAUAUUCUUCACCCUGAGGAUGUGGCUUACUUAACUCAAUGGCCAAUGGUGUCAAAGUUCCAUCAUCUUUCAAGAAAAAUAUGGUUCUUGUAGCAUAAGUCUUUGUGGUAUUUGCAUUUAUUUUCCUCAAAUAAGGAAUGAGAUAGUCAUGGUGAUCUAAGAUGAACAACUUCUUGUUUUGGAUAGCCUGUUCAACCAAGUACAAUUAAUUAAUUGCUAUUCAUUGGAAUUACAUUAAAAAAAACACACACACAAAUAGAUAAAAAGCAAUAGAAAAAACAUUAUGGUGAAACAAUUUUAAUGUGAAACCAAAUACUCAUAUCAUUACCUGCUCAACAGUGAGCCCACCUAAGUUAGGCUCCAAAUGUUCUUUUGCUAUUAUACAGGUAUGAUCACCAUAGGCUUGAGUAUCUAGCUUGCUACUUAGUGGGAACUCCUGGAAUAAAUUUAUCACGCAAUGAAUGAGGAUAGCACUCCCAAAUUGCAUCCAAGCUUUUGGUUGCGUGUAUUUUCUUAUGAAUCAAACUUUUAAAUUAAGCUUACCUCUAUAAUCUUAAUGACAUUUGGAUUUAAACCAGCAAUCGUUUCUCUUGCAAAUUCUUCAUCAGUCAUCCAUGCAGACUUAUCCACUGCACCAAAUAAAAACAGUUCAAAAUUCAUCCACGUGAUUAAAUAUGUUGAAUAAAAACAGGAGUAUAUUGAUAAUAUUCCGCAUAUUCAAAAUAUGUAGCAUACCCUGCAUCACUUUAGGUGGUGGAUACUUGAGGAACUGUUCGCCAUCAGUUCGAAAAAUUUCCUUGAUCACUGGUAUAGGGGCGAUCUUGCUAAGAAAGUUUGUAGGUAGUGUAACUCCACCUUCAUAGAGUUUGUGCACUUCAGCAAAAUUAUCAAACUCAAGGCUCAAAAUAUUUCCAUCGAAUGCAUCAGUCAAGACAGGCAAGACAUCUUGGGAUACAGAUUUGAUUCCAUAAGCGAGAAAAUCUGAUGACUUCAAGUGACCAAAUGCUUCAUCUCUUGGAAGGUAAACAAAAUCGCUCGGCUUCUCACUGUUGGGAUCUGUUAGUUAAGAUGAAGGCACAUAAUAUACGUUAGCGACUACAAACAACAACAUUACAACAACUACUCAAAGAUUUUACAGCAGAGUAACUAAGUAUUCUAAGGAACGCACUUGACCAAUUCAGUUAUGCUAAAAGAAAAACAGCAGAAGUAUAAUAAAGUAGUGAGUAGUGAGUAACCUUUUCUAGUUUUUCCUCUUCCGGUUCUUCCUCUGCGAGGGUAAGGUAAGGCUGAACCACCAAGAACGGGGCGUGCAUAUUUAUCACCGCUAUCCGGGUUGCCCAAGUCAUUGUAGACAUCAUAAUCAUAGAUCCUAUCCCAUUCCUUGCGCUCUCCAGUUCCAUCCCCUCUUACAUUCUUCAAUUCUUCUUCUCUGUACUUCAAAAGUGGAGCUGGUGUCUCGCUUGGAAGAUAUGUCUGCAUUAUAAUUUAUAUGUAUAACAACUUUUUCAUCAUCCAUGUUGUUAUGUUGUAAAAUUCAACAACAAUAAAUAUUAAACACCGUACGCAUCAUGUAGUAAUGUGACAAUAUAUGUGGCUUACAUUGUUGGCAAAGAAAAUGCGAUCAGUCUUGUAGUUUUUUGAAUUGUAAACCCAGGAGUUGCAUACGAAGUGAAUGGUUCCGUGGUUUGGAAUGUCUUCGAGAAUUAGAGACUUGAGGUAGAACUCAUUUUGCAUGAAGUUCUUAAUAUAAAAUGCACCGGGAAUUCCGAAGUCACUGUCCCAUUCAAAAUUAACAUCGUAUGCUUGUUCGCCAGCUCCCAAGGUUGGUAAUGUUAUCUUUCCUCUUAAAUUUGUACUCUUUCCAAUUUUUCCUUUCCCACCUACCAAAUUUCACAGAAAAUUUAAUUUAAUCUCAACUGAAACUUACCUAAGGUGUUCAUAAACAACCAAAACCAAUAAAAGUCGAAAAAACAAUAUUCAAAAAAUUGAAAAUUGAAAAAACUGAAACUCAAACCAAAAAAUCGAAUAUUUGGAUUGGAUUGAAUCAUAUUUCGAAAACCAUUUAAAAGAACAAAUGGACAACUAGUCAAUUUAGUUCAAACAACUUUUUUUUAUCCGUAAGAUUUAACUGUAGAAAUGAAUUGGGUUGCCCAUUAGAGACCUAUGAUCUUAUUCAUUUAAGUUUUGACUUGAUCUGACUCAUUUAGUAACAAAGUUAUGCCUAAGUUUUUUUUAAAAAAUUGUUUAGUCAAAAAGAUGGGUCUUAAAAAAAGUCUAUUAGGCUUGAUUAAUUAUCCAUUUAGCAACAAUAUUUUUUAAUAAAAAUAUUAUUAUUAAUAUGAUAUAUAAUAUUAUAAUUAUUUUAUUUAAAUUACAAAGUUAUUUAGUAGCUUGAUAAUUUUAAUCAUUGUAAUUAAUGUUUAUGAGGAUAGAUGAGUAAUAGGAAUAGGGAUUAUUUUCUUUUUUUGAGACUUAAAAACUUUAAUAGCAUGUUACAUGUAAUGUUUGUAAGAAAGUUUUGUAUAUUAUAGUUUAAAAUUAUCUUAUUGUUUUUUAUGAAAAUCUUUAAUUUUAUUUAAAAAAAAUAUUUUUUUUACUUUUUAAUAUAAAACAAACCUUUAGAUGAGCCUCGCAAACUUAUAUAAAUGUCACUCCUAAAAAUGGGCUCAUAAUAGAUAACAAAUGCAAGUUUGAGUUAUAAAAAUAUAAAACAAGUAAGGACAGGGCUUAUAUAGGGCUUAUAUAGGGCUUAUCCAAUUCAAUCCAUUCUCACCUCUAAGUAAGCAUAAAAUAAAUAUUAGAGAGUUAAUAUUCAAACACCAACAGAGCUAGACUCACAGGUAAUCCUGACAAAACUUAUAUAUGCAUUUUUAUCAUAAAAUUAUAUAUAUCAUUCAUGCUUAUAUUUUUAUUUCUUAUUUUUAAUAAAUUAUCAAAUGAUUUAUACUUAUUUAUACAAUAUAUUUAAUUGAUUAUAUAUUUUUAGUAAUUAUUUGAGUAAAGAUACAUAAAUAUUAAAAAAAAAUGCUAACCAACACAGGACACGUGUUAAAGAAUAAAAUAAUGAAAUGUUUUUUCAUUGAAAAGUGUAGCAGUAAAAUCUCCCAUGAUUUCUAAUACGGUAUGAGUAU
rnacentral:lncRNA from 1 species